rnacentral:lncRNA from 1 species
UUCAGCCCAGUGAUGGAGGAGGACAUUAGGUGUUAAGUUUAAGAAGUUGAAGGACUCAAGCUUGUAUGCAGCUUCCAUGAUAUACACAGAAAGAGGACUGUGGAGAAAGGAGUCUAUGCCCAGCUUACACACAACAACCUAGGAUGUGGCUGGGUCUCUAUAACAAUGGGCAGAUAGGCAAUAGGACAUCCAUCAAAGCUAAGACAAGCCAAACCACAGGAUUUAAUGCCAAUUCUCCAGAGAUUCAUUUUUCGUGUGACACAUCUGCUGAAUAA